rnacentral:rRNA from 1 species
GUGCCAGCCGCCGCGGUAAUACGUAGGGGGCGAGCGUUGUCCGGAUUUAUUGGGCGUAAAGAGCGCGUAGGCGGCCAGGUAGGUCCGACGUGAAAUCUCGAGGCUCAACCUCGAGCGGUCGUUGGAUACCGCCUGGCUAGAGUCCGGAAGAGGAGAGUGGAAUUCCUGGUGUAGCGGUGAAAUGCGCAGAUAUCAGGAAGAACACCCAUGGCGAAAGCAGCUCUCUGGGACGGUACUGACGCUGAGGCGCGAAAGCGUGGGGAGCGAACAGGAUUAGAUACCCCCGUAGUCC